AUAAAACAAGGAAUUUUCACUUAUUUACGAUCCAACCAGUCAGUUGGAUCUAGAUCCAUAUGACUUUCGGAUCUUUUAUCCCCAAAGUCAAUCCAAACACUAAUUUCCAAAUCACCUUUUUUUUAUUUCUCCUCUCUACGACUUUUUCAUCUUCUUCGUUUCUCUCUGUCUCGAGUCAACAAUCCGACAAACACAAAGCUUUCAAUCUCUUUUCUUCUUCUUCUUUCUUCUUUUUUUUUUUCUCUCUUUUCUCGAUUCCAUCGAUACUCAUUCAUCUUUUUCAUCUUCCCUCUUCACUCGUUUCUAUCGAUCCAAAGAUCCGUCCUCUCUCUUCUUCUUCGUGAGAAAUUCGCAGUGAAAUCGAGAAAUCCGCCGUGAGAAAUCCGCCGUGAGAACUCCGCCGUGUCUUCUCUUUGUAAGAUUUCAUUUGUUUGAUCCCUAAUUUUGUUUUAUUGUGUUGGGUUUAAUUAGGAUUUGAUUUCUGUGAGGGUUUGAUAUGUAAUUCUCUUUGAUUUUGUUUGAAACAAAUGCAUUUUGAAUGGAAUUUCGAUUACAAUUAGGAUUUUUUAUGAUUACAGUUCGGAUUUUAAGAUUACUAAUAGGAUUUGAAUUACAAUUCGGGUUUGAAAUUCGGACGACAUGUAGCUACUUUUUCUUGUUUUUAUUUGGAGAUAUUGAGUGAAAGUUGUAACUUUGUUUGUAAACUCUUCUUAAAAUGAUUAAUUUCUCUUGGUCAAUUUUGGAAGAAAUCUGGUUUCAAGUAAGUUAAUAAGGAGUGGAUUGCAGACAUAGAUGAAAUUUUUUGUACGUAUAUAUUAGCCUAUAACAUUUGUUUCUCUAUUACGAGAGGAGGAAAAGGAAAAGGAGACUGAGACUGAGACUGAGAAGGAGAAGGAGAAGGAGAAAGAGAAGGAUAAGGAGAAGAAGAAGCAGAAGAAGACUUGGUGUGUUCAGAUGUGUUUUGGUUUCUAAUGUUAUGUAUGAUUCUAAGUGUUUAGGUACAACUGGUACACUUAUGUACAACUAUGUAUCUGGGUUUGUAUGAAUCUAAGUUUUUUUGACAGAAAAAUCACCAAAAAACUAUGAGUCAAAGUGUUUUGAUCAAAAAAUUCACAACAACACUAUGAAUCUACUAAGUAU
rnacentral:lncRNA from 1 species